GUGCGUAGGCGGCUUGUUAAGUCUGGUGUGAAAGCUAGGGGCUCAACCCCUGUGUUGCACUGGAAACUGGCAGGCUUGAGUGCGGUAGGGGAAGGUGGAAUUCCGAGUGUAGCGGUGAAAUGCGUAGAUAUUCGGAAGAACACCGGUGGCGAAGGCGACCUUCUGGGCCGCCACUGACGCUGAGGCACGAAAGCGUGGGGAGCAAACGGGAUUAGAUACCCCGGUAGUCCACGCUGUAAACGAUGGUCACUAGGUGUUGCGGGUAUCGACCCCCGCAGUGCCGUAGCUAACGCGUUAAGUGACCCGCCUGGGGAGUACGGUCGCAAGACUGAAACUCAAAGGAAUUGACGGGGGCCCGCACAAGCGGUGGAGGAUGUGGUUUAAUUCGACGCAACGCGAAGAACCUUACCAAGGCUUGACAUCCCUAGAACCCUCUGGAAACAGAGGGGUGCCCGAAAGGGAGCUAGGAGACAGGUGGUGCAUGGCUGUCGUCAGCUCGUGUCGUGAGAUGUUGGGUUAAGUCCCGCAACGAGCGCAACCCUCGUGGUUAGUU
rnacentral:rRNA from 1 species